AGUCUGGUGCCAGCAGCCGCGGUAAUUCCAGCUCCAAUAGCGUAUAUUAAAGUUGUUGCAGUUAAAAAGCUCGUAGUUGGAUUUCUGUGAGAGUGCCGGUGUCGGCUGAUGCUUGUACGCAGGCGCUCUUACAUCCUUCUGUUAACUGAUCUUGGCAUUUUAUUGCUGGUUCAGGGCUCAGAUAUUUUACCUUGAGAAAAUUAGAGUGUUUCAGGCAGGCUUAUGCCGGAAUACAUUAGCAUGGAAUAAUGGAACAGGACCUGUGCGUCUCUCGGGGCGCCGGUCUCCGUUGUUGGUUUCGGGGACUAAUGUAAUGAUUAAUAGGGAUAGUUGGGGGCAUUAGUAUUUAAUAGUCAGAGGUGAAAUUCUCGGAUUUGUUAAAGACUAACUUAUGCGAAAGCAUUUGCCAAGGAUGUUUUCAUUAAUCAAGAACGAAAGUUAGGGGAUCAAAGACGAUCAGAUACCGUCCUAGUCUUAACCAUAAACUAUGCCGACUAGGGAUCGGAGGCGAGUUCUAACAGCCUUCGGAGCCUUAUGAGAAAUCAAAGUCUUCGGGUUCUGGGGGGAGUAUGGUCGCAAGGCUGAAACUUAAAGGAAUUGACGGAAGGGCACCACCAGGCGUGGAGCUUGCGGCACAAUUUGACCCAACACGGGAAAACUUACCAGGUCCAGACAUAGGUAGGAUUGACAGAUUGAUAGCUCUUUCUUGAUUCUAUGGGUGGUGGUGCGUGGCCGUUCUUAGUUGGUGGAGUGAUUUGUCUGGUUAAUUCCGUUAACGAACGAGACCUUAGCCUACUAACUAGUCGAUUCAACUCCGGUUGACUUUGACUUCUUAGAGGGACUUUGUGUGUCAAGCACAAGGAAGUUUGAGGCAAUAACAGGUCUGUGAUGCCCUUAGAUGUCCUGGGCCGCACGCGUGCUACACUGAUACAUACAGCGAGCACUUCCCGGCCCCGAAAGGCGGCUGGUAAUCAGCAAUAUGUAUCGUGAUGGGGAUAGAUCUUUGGAAUUCUUGAUCUUGAACGAGGAAUGCCUAGUAGGCGCACGUCAUUACCGUGCGUCGAUUAAGUCCCUGCCCUUUGUACACACCGCCCGUCGCUCCUACCGAUUCGAGUGAUCCGGUGAACCUUUUGGACCGGGGCUGUUUCGGCAGUCCUGGAAAAUCAAGUAAACCACGUCACUUAGAGGAAGGAGAAGUCGUAACAAGGUU
rnacentral:rRNA from 1 species